rnacentral:rRNA from 1 species
AAAAUCCGCAUAGCAUAACAUUGAGCUGUGAUGCCGAAGCCGUAUGGCGAAGUCAACUGAUGUCACGCUUCCAAGAAAAGCUUCUAGGGUUAAUUUAGUAAGUGCCCGUACCGAUAACCGACACAGGUAGGCGAGGAGAGAAUCCUAAGAUGAGCGAGAGAACUCUUGUUAAGGAACUCGGCAAAAUGACCCCGUAACUUCGGGAGAAGGGGUGCUUGUGAAAGCAAGCCGCAGUGAAUAGGCCCAGGCGACUGUUUAUCAAAAACACAGGUCUCUGCUAAACCGCAAGGUGAUGUAUAGGGGCUGACGCCUGCCCGGUGCUGGAAGGUUAAGAGGAGAGGUUAGCGCAAGCGAAGCUUUGAAUUGAAGCCCCAGUAAACGGCGGCCGUAACUAUAACGGUCCUAAGGUAGCGAAAUUCCUUGUCGGGUAAGUUCCGACCCGCACGAAAGGCGUAACGAUCUGGGCGCUGUCUCAACAAGAGACUCGGUGAAAUCAUAGUACUUGUGAAGAUGCAGGUUACCCGCGACAGGACGGAAAGACCCCGUGGAGCUUUACUGUAGCUUGAUAUUGAGCACUGGUGACACAUGUACAGGAUAGGUAGGAGACGAAGAAGCCAGGACGCCAGUCUUGGUGGAGUCGCUGUUGGGAUACUACCCUUGUGUUACUGGGGUUCUAACCCGUGGCCAUGAUCUGGUCAGGGAACAGUGUCAGGUGGGCAGUUUGACUGGGGCGGUCGCCUCCCAAAGAGUAACGGAGGCGCCCAAAGGUUCCCUCAGAAUGGUUGGAAAUCAUUCGAAGAGUGUAAAGGCAGAAGGGAGCUUGACUGCGAGACCUACAAGUCGAGCAGGGACGAAAGUCGGGCUUAGUGAUCCGGCGGUACCGAAUGGAAGGGCCGUCGCUCAACGGAUAAAAGCUACCCCGGGGAUAACAGGCUGAUCUCCCCCAAGAGUUCACAUCGACGGGGAGGUUUGGCACCUCGAUGUCGGCUCAUCGCAUCCUGGGGCUGUAGUCGGUCCCAAGGGUUGGGCUGUUCGCCCAUUAAAGCGGUACGCGAGCUGGGUUCAGAACGUCGUGAGACAGUUCGGUCCCUAUCCGUCGUGGGCGUAGGAAAUUUGAGAGGAGCUGUCCUUAGUACGAGAGGACCGGGAUGGACACACCGCUGGUGUACCAGUUGUUCUGCCAGGAGCAUAGCUGGGUAGCUACGUGUGGACGGGAUAAACGCUGAAAGCAUCUAAGCGUGAAGCCCCCCUCAAGAUGAGAUUUCCCAUUCGAAAGAAGUAAGAUCCCUUGAAGACGACAAGGUAGAUAGGUCAGAAGUGGAAGUGUGGUGACACAUGGAGCGGACUGAUACUAAUCGAUCGAGGACUUAACCUA